UGAUACACAGCUCAGGAACAAGAAAGAACCAGCUUCACCCUUUAAUGCAAUGCAAGGCGGUACAGUUAUAGAAUGUCAGCUACUGCUAAGAAGUACUCUGGUAAAAUCAUGUUGUACUCUCUGCGUUUCAAGUUGGAACUCGAAUUCAGCCACAACUGGUCCUAUAGGUGAAGUCAGUGAACUUGAUCUACCCCAGAUAACAAAUUCUUGCAAGGACAUGAGCGAAAAAGAUAAGGGGGGAAGGGGGGGGGGGGGCUUAAUCUCUUCAUGCUUAUCCCCAAAAAGAAAGGGAUGCAGCAGUUCCUACUAGAUUUACUAAGUCCAAUUCUCAUCAGUCAACCUUUUCUACCACAAAUUGCAACAUUGUUAUAGACGCAAAAAUCCAGGUAUUUCCUACUAAGAAAAAAAACACACACAUACCACCAGUUCUUGAAGUAGCGACCUGAGAAUAUUCUCCAGCAGCUGAUUCUCGUCUUGGACUAGCUUUAUUUGCUUCUGCAGAUGACCAGAAAAAAUUCAAGACGUUGCAUAAGAACUCCAUGGCAGUAAGCUCAUAUCAGUAAGCAUAUCUCAUUCAUCAUUAUUUAACAAGACCUGGUAUAAUCUAUCAAAUAAGCUACAAUUAUGUUAUGAAAAAAAUGGACUUCUUUAUAAAAAAAAUACUACCCCUCAAACCAAGAAGAAAGCAAAAUCUACAGGCAUGUCACCAACACAAUCAAAUCGCACAGUCAAAUUAUGUUUGGGAAACACUAUCAAGUCUUUACUACUUGUAACACGGGAAAAGGUCCAUUUUAAAGCAGGGAGCAAGUUCUUAAGUUGAAACUUGAAUAUUCCCUCAACGCACCCCCAAUGCACAGGAAAAA
rnacentral:lncRNA from 1 species